CGCGUAGGCGGAUGGUACAGUCAGAUGUGAAAUUCCUGGGCUUAACCUGGGGGCUGCAUUUGAUACGUAUUGUCUAGAGUGAGGAAGAGGGUCGUGGAAUUCCCAGUGUAGAGGUGAAAUUCGUAGAUAUUGGGAAGAACACCGGUGGCGAAGGCGGCGACCUGGUCCUUGACUGACGCUGAGGCGCGAAAGCGUGGGGAGCAAACA
rnacentral:rRNA from 1 species